AGACGAACCGUGCGAACGUUGUUCGGAAUCACUGGGCUUAAAGGGCGCGUAGGCGGGUGGUCAAGUCAGCGGUGAAAGCCUCCAGCUCAACUGGAGAAGUGCCCCUGAUACUGGCCGUCUUGAGGGAGGUAGGGGCAGAUGGAACUUCCAGUGGAGCGGUGAAAUGUGUUGAUAUUGGAAGGAACGCCGGUGGCGAAAGCGAUCUGCUGGGCCUCUUCUGACGCUGAGGCGCGAAAGCCAGGGUAGCGAACGGGAUUAGAUACCCCGGUAGUCC
rnacentral:rRNA from 1 species